rnacentral:rRNA from 1 species
UACGGAGGGGGCUAGCGUUGUUCGGAAUUACUGGGCGUAAAGCGCACGUAGGCGGUUUUGUAAGUCAGGGGUGAAAUCCCGGGGCUCAACCUCGGAACUGCCUUUGAUACUGCAAAUCUCGAGUCCGGAAGAGGUGAGUGGAAUUCCUAGUGUAGAGGUGAAAUUCGUAGAUAUUAGGAAGAACACCGGUGGCGAAGGCGGCCCACUGGUCCGGUACUGACGCUGAGGUGCGAAAGCGUGGGGAGCAAACAGG